AGAUGCUGUGUAUACCAACUGCCAGCGCCUUGGAGCCUUUUUCUGAAUUCACCUAGUCUUAGCCUCUUAUUUUUCUGGGAACUCUUCUGGGAUACAAUGAGAAGAGUAAACAAGGAAUGGAACCAAGCCAGAAUUCUGAUUCUGAGAAAACCCCUCCCCCGUGGCAAGAAUUCAAGCACAGAAGCGAGGUGGGGAGGAAAAAGAAAGAAGCAAAUUGUUCUACCAGCUGGCUGUCUCCAAUGUUGAAGAAAAUUAGAUAUUAGCCAGAAUAGAGAUUCCUUUAGCACACUUGGUCCUCCUAGAUGCACACUUCUUUCUCGAUUGAGGAUUCAGGCUAUCUAUCUCUUCAAGUUUGGUGAUUUGAACCUGGUUCAGGAUUAUGUCAAUGUUGAAUGUAUCCAGGACUACAGGAAAGGAACUGCUAAAGGGAGGACACUUCUGUUUGGAUUAAAUAACUCGCUGCUAACCGGACAAUUACUGGUCAUUCUGUUGAAACGAGGACUUGCUCUACACGUGGAAAGAGAGCAUCAUGUUCCAGGGGAGACCUUGUUAGCCAUUCUCGUGGGAAACAUACAUUUUGUGUGAGAAACCAGCAGACCUCCCCUCCAAAUGACCUUUGAUCUCAUGGAAAGACUGCCGUUAUUCCAAUCCACAAAUCAGGACAGGCUGAGCUCUAUCAAACAUUCCUGCUUGCCUGACCUCAAACUUUUGUGGUGGUUUUCCUCAAUAGGAGGUAGGAGAUGGAAACAUGGUGAGACACAAGUACUUUGGGAACACUCAGCAGAGUCUGAAAAGCUGCUUGCCCCAUACAAGGUUUAUAUUUAAUUUUUGAGUGUUUACUUGAUUCUUGUAUGUAAAGCCUCCACCCUUCAGUGUUGAUUUUGGAAGUCAUAUAAAUAGUUCAGAAUAGUUCAGAUUUCUUCUUCCCAUUUGCAGAUGUUCAUUUUUGAAGAAUUAAUGAAGACAUAUUUCCGGUGUGUGUUGCAGGGAUUUCUGCUUCAUCUCCAUUCCCUUUAAACUGGAAUAUUAGACUAUGACCCCCUGGUUUUGUCUUCUUGAGCAAGUUCUGCAUCUCCUCAGGAGAGUUUUCAUGAGCCAUUCGUUUACUCUGUUUUUGCACAAGUUCUGACAGGGAUUAAAGGAGAAAGAUUUAUUUUGAGAAUGUCCCGUUUGGUGUCCAACAGACCACACACUGGUUCGCAAUGACAAAACACACUGGUUUGUGUCAGCUCUACUUUUCAUUGCUUUGAAAUAUUGAGAUAUUCACUAAAUAUCUUUCAGCUUUUUCACCUGUUAAAUGAAUUACAUUUCUGGCAGAAAAGGCUUGGUUUUGCUGAGGUAACAAAUAUGCCCCAAAUUUCAAUUGUAUAGAAAAGCAAAGGU